AUUGAAGCCCGAGUAAACGGCGGCCGUAACUAUAACGGUCCUAAGGUAGCGAAAUUCCUUGUCGGUUAAAUACCGACCUGCAUGAAUGGCGUAACGAGAUGGGAGCUGUCUCAACCAGAGAUUCAGUGAAAUUGUAGUGGAGGUGAAAAUUCCUCCUACCCGCGGCAAGACGGAAAGACCCCGUGGACCUUUACUACAACUUAGCACUGCUAAUGGGAAUAUCAUGCGCAGGAUAGGUGGGAGGCUUUGAAGUAAGGGCUUUGGCUCUUAUGGAGUCA
rnacentral:rRNA from 1 species